rnacentral:rRNA from 1 species
UACGUAGGGGGCAAGCGUUGUCCGGAAUCAUUGGGCGUAAAGCGCGUGUAGGCGGCCAGAAAAGUCCGCUGUGAAAACUCGAGGCUCAACUUCGAGCUGUCGGUGGAAACUUUCUGGCUAGAGUCCGGAAGAGGAGAAUGGAAUUCCUGGUGUAGCGGUGAAAUGCGCAGAUAUCAGGAAGAACACCUAUGGCGAAGGCAGCUCUCUGGGACGGUACUGACGCUGAGACGCGAAAGCGUGGGUAGCAAACAGG